rnacentral:rRNA from 1 species
UGGGGAAUAUUGCACAAUGGGCGCAAGCCUGAUGCAGCCAUGCCGCGUGUAUGAAGAAGGCCUUCGGGUUGUAAAGUACUUUCAGUCGGGAGGAAGGGAGUAAAGUUAAUACCUUUGCUCAUUGACGUUACCCGCAGAAGAAGCACCGGCUAACUCCGUGCCAGCAGCCGCGGUAAUACGGAGGGUGCAAGCGUUAAUCGGAAUUACUGGGCGUAAAGCGCACGCAGGCGGUUUGUUAAGUCAGAUGUGAAAUCCCCGGGCUCAACCUGGGAACUGCAUCUGAUACUGGCAAGCUGGAGUCUCGGAGAGGGGGGUAGAAUUCCAGGUGUAGCGGUGAAAUGCGUAGAGAUCUGGAGGAAUACCGGUGGCGAAGGCGGCCCCCUGGACGAAGACUGACGCUCAGGUGCGAAAGCGUGGGGAGCAAACAGG